AGAUGAAAAACCCCUUCGACCUUCUCUGCCCAAACCUAGAAAAAAUCGAAACACCACAAACACAAACCCACAAAUCCAAAUCACAAUCACAAACCAGAUACACACAUUCAAGAGUGAGGAAAGAGAGAUACAAACAGAGAUUUAUAGAGGUUCACCACCAACAGAUUUGGGGCUACGUCCUCUUGAGCUCGCCUCAGAGAUUGAGAGCUCUCAAAUCCACUAAUCAGAUGAAGAAUCAGUACAUCCAAGCCUUCAAGAUUUCAGUUACAUCAUACAGGAAAACAACUCCUCUCAAAGCUCUCAAAAAUUGCUUUUCACUCAAAAAUUACAUGAUAAGAUUUUUCUUCCUUUUGAUUACAUGUAUUUAUAGACUAGCAAAGAAAGAAAAAUAAAGUAGAUUUCGGUUGUGAUUUUUUUCUUGAUCUUGAACUGCUUUUGUUUUGUUUGUUGUUAAACUGGCAAGAGUUUAGUUGUAACAAUAUUUUGUAAGUGGCUGUAACUGAAUAUUGGUUCUGAAUAAGGACUUGUAUUUAACAUACUUGGUGGUGUUAAUGUUUUGGUUGAAUAUAUGCAAAAAUUUUACAUA